CCAAUAGCGUAUAUUAAAGUUGUUGCAGUUAAAAAGCUCGUAGUUGAACUUCGGGGUUUACCCAUUGGUCAGGCUUAAUUGUCUGCACUGGUGAGAUGAAUCUCUACCUUCUGAGGAACUUUCAUGUCAUUAAUUUGGUGUGAUUGGAAAUCAGGACUGUUACUUUGAAAAAAUUAGAGUGUUUAAAGCAGGCUAACGUCUGAAUACAUUAGCAUGGAAUAAUGAAAUAGGACGGACUGAUUCUAUUUCGUUGGUUUCUAGGAUCACCGUAAUGAUUAAUAGGGAUAGUUGGGGGCAUUAGUAUUCAAUUGUCAGAGGUGAAAUUCUUGGAUUUAUUGAAGACUAACUACUGCGAAAGCAUUUGCCAAGGAUGUUUUCAUUAAUCAAGAACGAAAGUUAGGGGAUCGAAGACGAUCAGAUACCGUCGUAGUCUUAACCAUAAACUAUGCCGACUAGGGAUCGGACGAAGUUAAUUUUAUAAUGACGCGUUCGGCACCUUACG
rnacentral:misc_RNA from 1 species